rnacentral:rRNA from 1 species
UGAGGAAUAUUGGUCAAUGGACGCAAGUCUGAACCAGCCAAGUAGCGUGCAGGAUGACGGCCCUAUGGGUUGUAAACUGCUUUUAUAUGGGGAUAAAGUGGGGAACGUGUUCCCUUUUGCAGGUACCACAUGAAUAAGGACCGGCUAAUUCCGUGCCAGCAGCCGCGGUAAUACGGAAGGUUCGGGCGCUAUCCGGAUUUAUUGGGUUUAAAGGGAGCGUAGGCCGUUUGGUAAGCGUGUUGUGAAAUGUAGGAGCUCAACUUCUAGAUUGCAGCGCGAACUGUCAGACUUGAGUGCGCACAACGUAGGCGGAAUUCAUGGUGUAGCGGUGAAAUGCUUAGAUAUCAUGAAGAACUCCGAUUGCGAAGGCAGCUUACGGGAGCGCAACUGACGCUGAAGCUCGAAGGUGCGGGUAUCGAACAGG